rnacentral:lncRNA from 10 species
CAGGGGACUGUGACUGGCAGGUGACACACGCUGGCUGUCAUCUCCAUGGUCCAGCGGGCAGCCCACACUUGGCCCAGGGGACAGCAGGCCAUGUGGGCUCUAUCCAGCAGAAGACCUCGGCCCUUUAAAUCCGAUAGCCCUAGGGAAUUACAUCAGCCAGCUACUGGCCAGGACAUUCAGUUCUUAGCCUGACAUCUGAGUCAGAGGACUCCAAGUUGCUUGGCUGAGCUGAUGAAGGUUUGCAGCUGAUGAGGCCAAUGCUGUGGCUGCAGUCCUGAGUCAGCCAGUUCUAUCCCUUCUCCCCAGCCCGGGGCUGUGCACGACCACUUCCCGCCAGUUGUUCUUACAGCUGUGUGCCACAGAGCAUAAACGGUGGAGCAUAAACCCUGUGAGAGCGGAUAAAAUGAAAGCACGUGCUCUGAUGCUUCCUCCAGGUCUGGCUCAGAAUCCCAGCAGCAGAGGAUAUGCUCUAUCGGGCUUGGCUGCUCUGCUCUGAAUGGAGGAAGGAGCCGACAAAGACAAAGCGCCCGGGGCCCAGGAGAGUUUAAGAGCAGCCCUGUGGCUGACUAGCCCCUCCGCACCUGGAGGGCCCAUGUGCCUUUGUCUCUCUCCCCUUCCUGUGGCCUUUGGGCUGGAAAAGGACAGAAGCGAUUCUUGAUUAGGGACAGAUGUGUGCUCUUUUGCUUCACUCUCCGCUGAUAUUCACAGCAACUUUUGAGAUGGCUGGGCCUGCACUUGCUCCGCUCACGGCUCGAGAGCUCACCUGGUUUCCUGCGAUCACACAGCCAGCAGUUCGUGGGCUGCAGCUCCCACCCAGGGACCUUGCCCAACGCCUGUGCAUUUCCCAGCUCAGCUCUGCGCAGUGAAUGCCCCCAUAGAAGGAAGCAGAAAGACUUCAAAUCCUCCCUUACUCUCCUGUACUCCCCACUGCCUGACAUUUAGCCACACCUCUCCCAAAGGGUUUUAUGCUGAACAGCUUAGUGUACUUGCACAAUUUCUAGAAGAACCUGAAUCCUGUUCUUUGCUCAAAGCAUAAAUGCCAAGUGAGAAUCCCCUGGAAGAAGAAAUGUGAGCAGUGUGGUGAGAGAGGCGCUCAGCUACUGAGAAACCAGUCCCUGAGGUCCAGGGCCUGAGGCCUAGUCUCAACCCAUGAUCAGUGGACUGUAACCUUGUCUGACCUUAUGCCUUCACAGGGCCUUGGCAUUCUGUCUACAUUGAGGGAGUGGGUCUUGAUGGUCCCAGACCCCUCUUCUAUGAAAAUCACAUGUCGUUGCUCAUAGGCCUUACAACCACAGACAUGCUGGGUCGCGGCAGUGAUCAACCAGUGGAGCCCACGGAGAUUUUCCCUGCCUGGACUCUGCACAUUGUUGCAUGGAAGGGCAGGUUUGGCCAUCCUCAUAAACAUUCGUGAUCUAGAAACUGGCCGGGCUGCAACUCCCACCCAGACCCUGACUAGGCCAGAGCCACUUUAACCAACAGGCUUUUAGGUGAACUCCUUGGCAGAGAAAAUCUACUGUGGAAGCGUAAAGCUGAAGGGAAGUUUCUCUGAGCUCCAACUCUGCUGCCCUGUGAGUGAGUAUCGGAGACAGCAGCCAGUCCCGCUGAUUUCUGCCCUCUGUGUACCCCAGGCCUACUGGCUUCAGAGAAAAAGGGCUGCCUUGGUGGGCAGCACCACACUGCCCACUCUCAAAUAAACUAAAGAAAACGUUUCUUCCACAUAUGCUAAUUACCUAUUGCUAAACCCAAGGAUGGUGGAAGUGUGCUUUAUUUGGGGCAAUUGACUUAUUUGAAAGCAGCCACCAGUGUCUUGCUUCCUAAUGUAUAUGAGGACACGCUCUAUGUACCGAGUGUCUCUGGGCAGGGACUGAGUCUCAGGGGACCUGGGGGAAAGAGCCUCACUGCCCUUGGAUUUGGAUUUUAAUCCUGACUUCAUCGUGUACUACCUGUGUGACCUGAGGUGGACCACCUAACCUCUCUGAGCCUCAGUUUCCUCAGUUGUAAAAUAGAAAUGACAAAAUUUCUCUCCAACCUGACUGCCAUAGGGAUUCCUUGAAACAAAGUAUGUGAAUUGCUCAGAGCCAAGUAGGUGCUAUGUGAGUUCUAGCCCUCCUGUUUUCUGACCUUGGAUACACACUUACCCCAGGCAUGAUUAUCUUCUCAACGUCGUUGAUGAUGUCCUCAAACGUGUCUGGCUCCUGAGGGGCAGCGGCAGGGAUCAGCGGCCGCAGGUACCCGGGCUCCACGUCAGGGUAGACCUGGCGUCCCUCAAUGCCUUCCAUGUAGUUGGCCAUGUAAUCCACCAUCUCCUUCCCUCUCCUUCGGAAUUCACUUGCGUUCAUGGUGUCUGGGCUCUGUCAGAGGUGAAAACUGCAGAAAGAAAAUGAUUCAGUGAGCAAAUUUUGCAACCUCUGAACUGGAAGGCGGGGAUACCAAGCAAGCCGUGGGUAGGGACACCUGGGCAGUGACUGCAUGCCCUGGAGGCCACUUGGAUCCCAAGUAAGGGGCGCUUUCCCUCCAUGUCUGUAGGAGGUAGAAAUGGCACUGGAUUUGGGACUGAGGCAAAAGCUGCUUCUCCUCUUCACCAGCUAUUCAACUGGGAACAACACAACGUCGCUUUAUUUCAAUAGACUAGAAGCACACGUUUAUUUUCAUGAUCGAUUCCAACUUUAAUGACAAACACUGGUCCAAGUCCUGCCUCUGCCCUUACCUGCCUUUGAAAGAGACAAGCUUGCCCCUUAGAGCCCCUCUCCUCAUCUGAGAAAUGAAGACUGUGAUGCUGACCUCUCAGGAGGGCAUGAAGGCACAGUCACACAAUGCACACGAGCCUCAGCUCAGAGCCUGGGGCAGCACACCCCCUCAAACUUAGUCUUCUUCUCUCCUCUUGAUUCUGUCACAGAUGGAACUGCACCUUUACGCACCAUCUGCUUUUUAAAACUAAUGCUCUCCUCCCUCCUUGCAUAAGUAAUAUACAGGCAAUUCUCAUUAUUGCUGGUAGCUGUGUUCUAUCUACAACAGUUGCCAUGGCCAUAAACUCUGAAUUAGUGAAUACUGAACCAUUUCUUCUAGGGGAAAUACAAUUUCCUGAAGCGUGAUCCCAACAUUUUUGUCAACAAAUCAGUACAUAAACUUUUCAUGUGUUUUUAAGAGACACUUUAUUUAAUAUAUAUUGAUUCAUUAACAUUGGACUCACAGCCAACAGCACUGUAACUCCUGUCUGGGGAAGCUUCUCUAACACAUAUAUUUUCUCCAUAAGGCACGUCUUGUGCAUAGGAUGGCUAGACAGCACUUCUGCACCACAUUUGGGGGUCAUUUUAAACAGCAAAAUCACCAAGAAGAAAAACAUAAAAAUGUGAAGGAUGUGGCACUGAAUAGACAGAGAGAAGGACAUGUUUACAUUAUGAGAGCUGACGCAAGAAGGUAGUGUGUCCCUUUGUUCAGCCUCAGCUGGGAACAUACGCAUCGGACAAGCACAUUCUCCACUACGCUACACAUAUGUACGUCCCUGAGUGGUCUCAAAAGCACCAUGAGUAUUGAUAUUUAUUGACAUUGGGGGUUACAAAUGAAUUUUAGCAAGUAGGAGAAUUUGCAUAGGUGGAAUAUGUGAAUAAGAAUCAAUUGUAUUUUCAAAACAGGACAGUGAACAACACAAAGAAAAAGAUAAGCCUAAAAUCCCACAACCCAAAAUUCUGGCACAUGUCUUUCUAGAAUUUUUAUUUUACUUUAUUUUAUGUGUUUAUUUUUUUGAAACGGAGUUUUGCUCUUGUCGCCCAGGCUGAAGUGCAAUGGCACGAUCUCGGCUCACUGCAACCUCUGCCUCCCGGGUUCAAGUGAUUCUCCUGCCUCAGUCUCCUGAGUAGCUGGGAUUAUAAGCACCCACCACUAUGCCCAGCUAAUUUUUGUAUUUUUAGUAGAGGCGGGGUUUCACCACAUUGGCCAGGCUGGUCUCAAACUCCUGACCUCUGGUGAUCCACCAGCCUCGGCCUCUCAAAGUGCUGGGAUUACAGGCAUGAGCCACCGCUCCCAGCCUCUAGAAUAUUUUCUAUUUAUGAGAGACAAUUGCAUGCUAGGGAUGGACUCACAGCCAACAGCACUGUAACUCCUGUCUGGGGAAGCUUCUCUAACACAUGUAUUUUCUCCAUAAGGCACGUCUUGUGCAUAGGAUGGCACAAGGAAAAUGCAUAGGGAUGCAUUUUCAAAUCUUUUUCAUACUCCAAAGUUUUGUAGAUGAGGAAAUGGAAGCUCAGAGAGGCAAUGUGACAUGCCCAAGAUCACAUGACCAGUAAUUGCAGAAAUAGGAUUCAAAUUUAUAGCUGGCUCCAGGACAAAUUUAAGAUAAAUUUUCCCAUGGGAGUUAAGUGCUUAGGAAUACUCUAAAUUCACUGUUAUUAGCAAUGGUGAUGACCUUACUAUCAGCUUCCAGCACUUCUCUAUUUUCCCAUUGUCCAUGCUGGGAUUUUUAACAAUUUUUGUGAGGUUAAAGGUGGUAAAGAAAAAUUGUUCACCAGGCACUUGUUAAAAGUGACAAGACAGAUUUUACUCAAGACCACUGCAAUAGGGAUAGAAUGUUGCAAAAGGGGAGGGGCUGAACUCAAUUCCAAAAACAACAGGGGCACAUAGGGACUUACAGCCAACGGUCAGGUGAGAGGGUCCCUGGGUGGAAAAUUACUAAGAGGAACUUGGGUAAGUAUCAAGGGUGGAGGGGAAAAAGGAACUCUGGAUGAGAUACCAAAAGUGGAAGCACAUGAGCCUGAUUGGACAUCAAAGUUGUGCUCAGAAGGCCAAGGAGGAGACUUGGCUAAGCUCUUCCCCCUUGGGCCAGAGGAGCUUGGCUGAUGUUUGGUCAAGGUACUUUGACAAAGGUAAACCUGCUAGAAUGUGCUUUUCCUUCCAUUGGCAUUCUCUCUAAUAUUUUUACUUCCAUGUUCUCUGUUAAAUGAACAGUUACAGAAGUUUUUAUGUCAUUUCAAGGCUUAUUAGAUCCAGCCCCCAUGUUAAAGCUAUUGUUUGAGGAUGCAUUUCUCAGCUAGUGAGUGCUUGAGUGGCAGUGAUUGAGACGUAAGAUUAGACUCUAGAUUAUAGCAACAGCAAAUGCCAAACUAACAAGCAUGAGAACAACCACAAUGACUGUCUGAAGUUCUGUUGCACCUUUGUGCUUCUUAAGCCAACGACCAAGGAGUGUCCUGUUCACCAGCAAAACAUCAAGGCCAUGUGCUAAAGCAGCCAGCUUACAAUUCCUUGGGGCCUGCAGGCUUUGAAAUUAGUUUUUAGUUUGAAGUGACUGUUUUUUUUUAAUUUUGCACAUACAGUGAAACUUGGUUUUCACCUCAAGUGGAAGUAUUUCAAAUUAAUAUGACUCAAAUUUUUAACUCAAAUGGUAUCACACUGCAGAUCUUUUUGCUAGCCUGUUUUUCUUUACUAAUUUCUAAGUACAUUUCUCAUGUUGAUAAAUACUUUUCUUUUUCUUUUUUUUUUGUUUUUUUUUGAGACGGAGUCUUGCUCUGUCACCCAGGCUAGAGUGCAGUGGUGCGAUCUUGGCUCACGGCAACCUCUGCCUCCCAGGUUCAAGUGAUUCUCCUGCCUCAGCCUCCCGAGUAGCUGGGACUACAGGGCAUGGUGGCAGACACCUGGCUAAUUUUUUUUUUGUAUUUUUAGUAGAGACAGGAUUUCGCCAUGUUGGUCAGGCUGGUCUUGAACUCCUGAUCUCAAGUGUUCUGUCUGCCUUGGCCUUCCAAAGUGCUGGGAUUGCAGGCAUGAGCCACCGCACCUGCCCGAUAAAUACUUUUCUAUUGUGUGAUUUCUCACAAGUAUUUCACAAUGUGAAUGUGCCAUAUUCACAACAUGUACCUCUAUUGUUGAGCAUUUAUAUUAUUUCCAAUUUUCACCCACACAGUGGGAAGCAUUGGUGUAUCCCAGUGGCCAACACUCCGAGACCGAGAGCCAAAGAAAGGACUGCGAGUCACACCCUGAUUCUAUGUAUUAGCUAUCAUAAUCGCAUGUAUUAGCUAUUAUAACAGCAUGUAUUAGCUGUACAACCCAGCGUAAAUUGCUGCCAUGCUAAACCUCAUUUUCUUUAACUGGCAACAAAAAUCGUGACAAUAAUAGUAUAGGUACACCCCGUUUUAUUGCAUUUUUUACAAAUAGAAGGUUUGUGACAACCCUGAAUCCAGCAAGUCUAUAGGCACAAUGUUUCCAAAAGCAUGUGCUCACUCAAUGACUCUGUGUUACAUUUCAGAAACUUUUGUAAUAUUUCAAACCAUUUCAUUAUUAUUAAUCUGUUAUAGUGAUCUAUGGUCGGCAAUCUUUGAUGUUACUAUUGUAAUUGUUUUGGGACAGCAUGGACCACACCCACAUGAUGGUCAACUUAAUAAAUUUGUGUCUGACUGAACCACU